AUUAAGGUGAAAUUGGGAUUGGGGAAAAAAAUGAAUAAGAUAUUUUAGAGAAAUUUACAGACCAAACAAAUGCAGAUUUUGCUUCUUCUUUCCGUCUACCAAACCAGGGCCAAUAAUUGAUAAAUGUAUGUGUGUUUAUCUGGAUAAUUAAAGAGUAGCUUGCUAAUCAGAGAGAGAGAGGAGAGAUGUGCACAGUCGACACCCAGCACGAGUGUGUGUGUGUAGCUCUUGUCAAGUUCAAAAGUGUUAAUUGAAGCAAAGGGUUUCGCAGUGACAAGCCGCAGCGUUUCCGUUUUGUAGCUGACGCAGCUGCUGUCGCUGCCGUUGGAGUUGCAGUUGCAAGUUACAGUUCGGAGCUGUUGUAUUCAUUCAGCUUGGGGUUCAGAGUUCAAAUGCAGGCAAAAAUAUGUAAAUGCAGGGCGCUUGCGUGUCGGGUCUAUAGGGGGAUUUCGUUCUAACCGAUUUAACCAUUACACAGUAACAACAACAUCAAUUUCGGGCACUGGGAACGGGUCACGAGGUGCCACAGUUGGUUUGAGCCUGGAGAAGCAGAUGGAGGAGGAGGCGAAGGAGAGAGAGGAGGCGGCCCUGGCGCAGGCGCGCAGACUAAACGCUUGUUAAAGGGCGCGCUCGAAAUUGAGGCUCUCAUUGUUGUUGUUGCUGCUGUUGCUGGUGCUGCUGCUGCUGGUGCUGCUGCUGUGUGGUUUGUGGCAACCGCAAAAACAAAUCAAGCGUCAGGCAGAGGCAGACAGGCAGCGGGCGCGCACAAAUCCGAAUUCGAUUUGCAAUUUUCAGGCUUUGCAGUUGAGUAAACAAUUUUGAAUGAAA